CUUGUGAGAGAGACCCAAGGGUGAGCUCCGAGCUUGGGGAAGAGACAGUUAAAGCGUCCCCACGCGAGCGAGUCAUAUCACACAGCGCCGGUGCCAGGUCAGCAGUCUGGCUGGAGCUGGACGCGGCUGGUGGCGCCAGGCGGUGCCAAGCGUCCCCCGGCAGCCUCACAGAGGGUUCCCAAAGCCGGAUUUCAUUUUGCAGUUUCCCAGGGAUGCUCUUGACAACUGCCUCACCAGGGGAAAUUACGAGCUGCGCUGGUGCCUCCCAGACAAGCCUGGUUGGAAGCACAGGACUCUCGCGGCCGGGAGCCCGCCGAUGCCUGACAAAGGAAGCCCUGCUCAGGAAGAAAGGAUUAUUGGCAACUGGACCCACCCUGAUGUCUGGAGGAGGGACGUUUCCAGGAUUCCCCUCUGAGUGGAGUUUUAACAUCCACAAUGUGCUAGACCAGUAUCCUGAAAACGUUGUCUCCAAAACCUCCUGGAAAUUCUGAACACACAACUGCAAACAUCACUUAAAAGCUCAACUGAACAAAAAAGGAGGCCGUCUGCGGUAGCCAGAAUGCAGAACAAAGUGCGGGCAGACACCAGGCUGGCACAGGGAUGCAGGUGGCAGGGACGCUUUUCCAAUCCGUGUACCAAGGGGCUUGGGUGUAAUGACCACAGGAGACAGAAUGUGAGGCCUCGAUCCACUUGCACCAGAAACCAGAGCUUGCUCCCCUCUCCUGCUCCAUCCACCCAGUAAAGCCAGACCUCGGAUGGGCUGCACCCUCCCUGGAAAGUAUGCUGGAAGAAAUCUGCCCGCCAGCUCAGGGGUGACAGGGAUCCCGAGCUGUGUCUGCACGGGAGGAGUUUAAUAACAAGAGGAGGGUGAGAACUUCUCUGAACAUUUGUAAUCGCAGAGCUAACUCAUAAGGGACUGAGGCUGGGACAGAGGGAAUCGAGACCGAGAAGUCCUGCACCACCAGGGAGAGGCGAAUGUAAAAUCACUCUCCAAAAAUUAACCCCACCAAAGAGGAGUCCGGCACCCCCAAAUCCAAAAUCAAUGUGGAACAAGUAGUUUUUGAAAUGUUCAAAGACAUCAAAAAUAACGAAAAUUAAUUCUUUUGAAAGGACAAAGAAUGGUUCAAAAAUACCAGAUAGGUUUUAGGGGGGAAAAAAGAAAAAGGAACUGAAAAUGAAAAAUGUAAUCAUUGAAAUUAAGAUAAUUGAAAUGAAAUCAACAGUAUGUGUGACGCUCAUGAAAGAAGAAUUGGUGGGUGGUAAGAUAGAUUGGAAUCAUUUGUCCCAUAUACAGAAAAACGACAUAAAGAAAUAUGAUCUCACAGGUUACCCGUUAGAGGUAACCUACCUCUAACUGCAGAACAAAACAAAGACAAUAGAAAGUUGGAGGGGAGGCAAUACUUUCAGAAAUAAUGAAUACAUUUUUUUCCACGAUGUAUGAAAGACUAGAGUCUGGAGAGCCAGGCAUCUCACUACAUCCUAAGAAGGAUACAUUUGAAUGAAUCCAUUCUGCAAAGAAUAAGAAACUUCGUCUGAUGGCACGCUUCUCAUCAGUGAUCAGGAAGGCUGGGGUUUGGCAGGAAAAGACCCACAUCGGUCACCUUGACUAGCUGAAUUAAAGUUCGUCCCAAAGGACAGCAAGAUGGCCAGGUAACCAGCCCCUGCUUGUUUGCGGAGUCCACAGGUUGGUCAGGCGUGGAGUGGAACGAGUUUCUGCCUUCACCCUGCUGGACUCGGAGCCAAAUGAAUCCUCCUGUUGCAGAGCAGGAAUGCGUGUGUAAGAAGCCUUCUCUGGUUUCCUGUGUGAGUUCGUUCUGCAGACGGAGGGGCAGCUAUCCCUGCCUUCCCUGCCGGAGGACAGCAGCAGCUUCUCCGUAGCACAUGACAGCACGGAAGAAGUUGCUCGUGGACCACGCACGAUUAAAGAGCACAUUGAACCUCCGUCCUUGUCUACGUGUCUCUGUCCCCUUCCUGGGGGGACUGUUUGUGCCUGGUUGAAUCUUUGUAUAGAGAUAGAUAGAAUAACAGAAGAAACUUUUGAGGAUAGUCAAUGGAUAUGCUUUUGUUUCCCCCUGAAUCCAUGCACCUGUCUAGCCUGCGACUUCUGAGGCUGGGCCAGGAGGCUUGCUGUGCCACAGCAAGGGAGAGCAGGUGCCCACGGGAAGCGGGUGUCCUGAUGAACUCUACAUUUUAGAGGCGGAAUUUCUUGAUCUCCUUAGUCAGACUUAGUUUUGGAAGUCAGGCUUUGCAGAGAGAGAAGCAUUAAAAAAUUUCAAAUCACCACUUCUGAAUAUCAACACUUAAGCCUUAUAGAUUCAAUCGAGAUCAUAGUGUUAGUGCUUUCCAUAGUGAGAUUUCUGAGAGUGGAGAGAGAGAGAGAGAGAGGAAGAGACAGAGACAGAGAGAGAGAGAGGAGAGACAUCGAGGCUGAGACACGUGCAGACUGUCCCCUUGUCCUGGCAAAGCCGCGGCCCUGCAAGGGGGGGGGGAGGCGCGGAGUGCCGAGUGACGGUGGGGGCUGGGAAGUGUUAGGUGGGCUGGAGUUCCCAUAGCUGCUUUAUUGUGUCCUUGCUCCAAUGCUACCCCCUCAGCAAGACUUUCCGUGAUCAUCUGGCAGUAGACAGCACCCUUCCUCCACCCUCCAUUGUCUUCUUUUAUGAAGCUUCCUUUGCCUUUAUGCCUUAUGUUAUACGUCUGUCUGUCGAUGUGGCUAUCAUCAGCGUUCUCACUGGAACACUUUAUUCACCGUUAUCUGCCCAGCGCCCGGACCGGGGCAGACCAUAAUGUUUAUUCAAUAAGUGGAUGAGAGGGAAGCUGAAAUGCAGCGUGCUUUGCUCUGCGUGCCUCCAGGGCUCUGGCGGGAGAACACCUUGCAGAGAGUGAGCGCUUCCCGCACCCGCCUGGGCGAACCACAGCGCAGCCAGGGUCGCUGGUCGGCCAGAAGAGACGCUGCCCGGGUGGAUGUCUCUGAAGGCAGGCAGCAAGGCUUAGGUGACAUAGUAUAAGAAAGACAGAGCAGGCCCGGGACGCCUGGGCCAGACAGAGAUCAGCUCUGCACUGACAGGGCCGUGGGAGCCUGAUCCCGAACCGCCGAGCUGUGAUUUCCUGUUAUACGGUGGGCGCCGUCAUAAUUAGCAGCAUCAUUGCGUGGGCAGGAAUUCUCGGGUGGCUCCCUAAACACCCUUUUCCUCCUUUAACAAAUAAAGACAUAUGCACCUCGCAUUAAUAUUGAGGAAUAAAUAAUAAAUUAUAAAUGGAAUAGAAAUUAUAAUACAGUGUUGCCAUAUCUGCACGGAUUUUUAUGGUCCCUGGAGUAAGCCCCUCUAGAAAUGUACAUUCUUCUCUCUGUUCAGAAAUAUUCACCAUGCUUUGUUAGUCCAGUCCACCCUACCCAUCUAGGGACAGCGGGACUAGGCACGCAUUUAGAAUUCUGUGGGCGCCAUUCUUCCUUUGCUUUUCAAUUAGAGACACCAUUCGUCUUGUGUGUUUUAUCUCUUGGAACAUUCCCCCAUGUGCUGCUGGAAGAUAACACUAUUUCCAGGACUCGGACGUUGCUGGGUUUUGCUACGUGGCUCCCGACACCCCACAGGUGCAUGUAAUCUUGCCGUAACAGAGUGUUGUCAUGUCUUGUUGACUAAUUAAGCUCCUUCAUUCCAAAUCUCAGCAGCAGAGAGUUCAAGUGUUAAACGGUGGGCCAGCGGAUCCAAAAGUCAGCGUGGGAGGCUGCCUGGGCCCUGGCUGGGUUUCGCUGCUUGUUUUUCUGUUGUGUUGUUUUCCCUUGGCCUCGCCAGGUGCCGCCUGGCUAAAGAUGCCAGUGGGCUCGACGCAGAGCCAAAUUUAUCGUCCGAUCGAGAGACUAGAUCACAUGGGAUAAAAGACAGCAAUUUUGGGGUGGUGGUGGUGGUGGUUUGUGUCACAUUGGGAAAGUGCAAAAUGCUAUAAUCAAUUUAUUUGUUCAUGCACACAGCAAACACUGAGUGUCCACUAUGUGCCGGACACUGGAAAAAAAAUACCAAGGCCCCCAAAAAAUCCAUGAGACAGGAUUUUUGCCCUGAAAAUUCACAACCUGGUGGAGAAGAAAGACGAGUAGAUGACUAUGGGACAAUGUAGUGAGGAUUGAGAAAGCUUUCUCUGCAAGGAGCCCUGAGGGUUCUGAGGCAAGAGGACACCUUCGUCCUGGAGGGAAGUGUGGAGUUCAGGGAUGGUGGCUUUGAACAAACUGUAAGGGCCAGUUGGAAGAAUGAUGAGACCUGAAAUAGGAGAAAAGCUGAAUUUCGGAGAUUACAAAGGACUUCCAAUUCUACAGCACAAGCUUGGGUUUUCACUGAGGGCUGGAGCUGUUGGAAAGAUUCCAACCGGGAAGGCCCGAGAGGACCUCUGAGGCUGAGACAGCAGAUCUUGACUGGCCGCGCUAAAGGAUGGACUUAACCGGGGAGAAAACUCUCCAAGGAAAGGAGA